UACUUAAGUUUCGAGCGUUGUCCGGAAUCAUUGGGCGUAAAGGGUACGUAGGCGGAUAAGCAAGUUAGAAGUGAAAUCCUAUAGCUCAACUAUAGUAAGCUUUUAAAACUGCUCAUCUUGAGGUAUGGAAGGGCACGUGGAAGUCCUAGUGUAGCGGUGAAAUGCGCAGAUAUUAGGAGGAAUACCAGUGGCGAAGGCGACUUUCUGGCCAUAAACUGACGCGGAGGUACGAAAGCGUGGGUAGCAAACAGG
rnacentral:rRNA from 1 species